ACUAAGCGUACACGGUGGAUGCCCUGGCAGUCAGAGGCGAUGAAGGACGUGCUAAUCUGCGAUAAGCGUCGGUAAGGUGAUAUGAACCGUUAUAACCGGCGAUUUCCGAAUGGGGAAACCCAGUGUGUUUCGACACACUAUCAUUAACUGAAUCCAUAGGUUAAUGAGGCGAACCGGGGGAACUGAAACAUCUAAGUACCCCGAGGAAAAGAAAUCAACCGAGAUUCCCCCAGUAGCGGCGAGCGAACGGGGAGGAGCCCAGAGCCUGAAUCAGUGUGUGUGUUAGUGGAAGCGUCUGGAAAGGCGUGCGAUACAGGGUGACAGCCCCGUACACAAAAAUGCACAUAUUGUGAGCUCGAUGAGUAGGGCGGGACACGUGGUAUCCUGUCUGAAUAUGGGGGGACCAUCCUCCAAGGCUAAAUACUCCUGACUGACCGAUAGUGAACCAGUACCGUGAGGGAAAGGCGAAAAGAACCCCGGCGAGGGGAGUGAAAAAGAACCUGAAACCGUGUACGUACAAGCAGUGGGAGCCUCUUAAUGGGGUGACUGCGUACCUUUUGUAUAAUGGGUCAGCGACUUAUAUUCUGUAGCAAGGUUAACCGAAUAGGGGAGCCGAAGGGAAACCGAGUCUUAACUGGGCGUUAAGUUGCAGGGUAUAGACCCGAAACCCGGUGAUCUAGCCAUGGGCAGGUUGAAGGUUGGGUAACACUAACUGGAGGACCGAACCGACUAAUGUUGAAAAAUUAGCGGAUGACUUGUGGCUGGGGGUGAAAGGCCAAUCAAACCGGGAGAUAGCUGGUUCUCCCCGAAAGCUAUUUAGGUAGCGCCUCGUGAAUUCAUCUCCGGGGGUAGAGCACUGUUUCGGCAAGGGGGUCAUCCCGACUUACCAACCCGAUGCAAACUGCGAAUACCGGAGAAUGUUAUCACGGGAGACACACGGCGGGUGCUAACGUCCGUCGUGAAGAGGGAAACAACCCAGACCGCCAGCUAAGGUCCCAAAGUCAUGGUUAAGUGGGAAACGAUGUGGGAAGGCCCAGACAGCCAGGAUGUUGGCUUAGAAGCAGCCAUCAUUUAAAGAAAGCGUAAUAGCUCACUGGUCGAGUCGGCCUGCGCGGAAGAUGUAACGGGGCUAAACCAUGCACCGAAGCUGCGGCAGCGACACUAUGUGUUGUUGGGUAGGGGAGCGUUCUGUAAGCCUGUGAAGGUGUGCUGUGAGGCAUGCUGGAGGUAUCAGAAGUGCGAAUGCUGACAUAAGUAACGAUAAAGCGGGUGAAAAGCCCGCUCGCCGGAAGACCAAGGGUUCCUGUCCAACGUUAAUCGGGGCAGGGUGAGUCGACCCCUAAGGCGAGGCCGAAAGGCGUAGUCGAUGGGAAACAGGUUAAUAUUCCUGUACUUGGUGUUACUGCGAAGGGGGGACGGAGAAGGCUAUGUUGGCCGGGCGACGGUUGUCCCGGUUUAAGCGUGUAGGCUGGUUUUCCAGGCAAAUCCGGAAAACCAAGGCUGAGGCGUGAUGACGAGGCACUACGGUGCUGAAGCGACAAAUGCCCUGCUUCCAGGAAAAGCCUCUAAGCAUCAGGUAACAUCAAAUCGUACCCCAAACCGACACAGGUGGUCAGGUAGAGAAUACCAAGGCGCUUGAGAGAACUCGGGUGAAGGAACUAGGCAAAAUGGUGCCGUAACUUCGGGAGAAGGCACGCUGAUAUGUAGGUGAAGCGACUUGCUCGUGGAGCUGAAAUCAGUCGAAGAUACCAGCUGGCUGCAACUGUUUAUUAAAAACACAGCACUGUGCAAACACGAAAGUGGACGUAUACGGUGUGACGCCUGCCCGGUGCCGGAAGGUUAAUUGAUGGGGUUAGCGGUAACGCGAAGCUCUUGAUCGAAGCCCCGGUAAACGGCGGCCGUAACUAUAACGGUCCUAAGGUAGCGAAAUUCCUUGUCGGGUAAGUUCCGACCUGCACGAAUGGCGUAAUGAUGGCCAGGCUGUCUCCACCCGAGACUCAGUGAAAUUGAACUCGCUGUGAAGAUGCAGUGUACCCGCGGCAAGACGGAAAGACCCCGUGAACCUUUACUAUAGCUUGACACUGAACAUUGAGCCUUGAUGUGUAGGAUAGGUGGGAGGCUUUGAAGUGUGGACGCCAGUCUGCAUGGAGCCGACCUUGAAAUACCACCCUUUAAUGUUUGAUGUUCUAACGUUGGCCCCUGAUCGGGGUUGCGGACAGUGUCUGGUGGGUAGUUUGACUGGGGCGGUCUCCUCCUAAAGAGUAACGGAGGAGCACGAAGGUUGGCUAAUCCUGGUCGGACAUCAGGAGGUUAGUGCAAUGGCAUAAGCCAGCUUGACUGCGAGCGUGACGGCGCGAGCAGGUGCGAAAGCAGGUCAUAGUGAUCCGGUGGUUCUGAAUGGAAGGGCCAUCGCUCAACGGAUAAAAGGUACUCCGGGGAUAACAGGCUGAUACCGCCCAAGAGUUCAUAUCGACGGCGGUGUUUGGCACCUCGAUGUCGGCUCAUCACAUCCUGGGGCUGAAGUAGGUCCCAAGGGUAUGGCUGUUCGCCAUUUAAAGUGGUACGCGAGCUGGGUUUAGAACGUCGUGAGACAGUUCGGUCCCUAUCUGCCGUGGGCGCUGGAGAACUGAGGGGGGCUGCUCCUAGUACGAGAGGACCGGAGUGGACGCAUCACUGGUGUUCGGGUUGUCAUGCCAAUGGCACUGCCCGGUAGCUAAAUGCGGAAGAGAUAAGUGCUGAAAGCAUCUAAGCACGAAACUUGCCCCGAGAUGAGUUCUCCCUGAGACUUUAAGUCUCCUGAAGGAACGUUGAAGACGACGACGUUGAUAGGCCGGGUGUGUAAGCGCAGCGAUGCGUUGAGCUAACCGGUACUAAUGAACCGUGAGGCUUAACC
rnacentral:rRNA from 1 species